AGAGGAAUCAGUUAAAGCUAAUAAAACUGUUGUUGGUUUGAACCAGAAAGUGGAGGGUGGUCUAGAUGAGCAUCCUCAAGGUAAGAAGCAGAAAGCCAAGGAAGAAGAACUACUUGGAGCUCAGAAGUGGAUAAAAAAAUCUACAGAAAGCAGAGAUAGUGCUGGCCAAGAAAUGAAGACUAAAGUAGAAGAGGAAUCAUUUAAAGCUAAUAGAGAGAGAUCCAGAUUAGCAUCUUCAAGGCAAGAAGCAUAAGGCCAAGGAAGAAGAAUUACUUGGAGAUCAGAAGAUGUGCAGUAACUCCACUUCAAAAAACUCUACUGAAAGCAGAGAUAGUGCUGGCCAAGAAAUUAAGGCUACUGUAGAAAAGGAAUCAGUUAAAGCUAAUAAAACUGCUGUUGUUUUAGAACAGAAAGUGGAGGGUGGUCAAGAUGAGCAUCUUCGAGGUGAGAAGCACAAGGCGAAGGAAGUGGAGCUAAUUGGAGCUCAGAAGAUGUGCACUUCCUCAUCUUCAACAACAUCAAAAGAAUCUGGAAAGACAAUUAAGCUUACCAAAAGCAGAGAUAGCGCCGGCCAAGAAAUGAAAGCCUAAACAGAAUCAGUUAAAGCUAUUAAAACUGUUGUGGGUUUUGACCAGAAUGUGGGGGGCGAAGAAGAUUCAGAGAACAAAAAUGAGGAGCUGCCAAAGAAGAAGGCGUUGAAUGCAAUCACUCAGAAGACAACAAAUGGAAUACCAACUGGAGGGAUGAUGAGGAGAAAACUUCCCCUUAGAGAGAACUUCGAAUUCUGGUGUGAAGUUUUUCAGGUUGGUACUCACUCCGCUGUUGUGAUGGAGGGUCAUAAAAGGGGGAAGAAACACAUGGCUCGGUCUAAUGGAUCUAGGAAAAAUAAUGAGGCCGUCCCCCUCACCACCCGCACUACAAUUGUGACACCAUCAGAGCCUACUGAGAAUGUUGGAGAUGAAGAUGCGGUGGCCCAAGAAUGAAAUGAAGAAACCGCAGAGAGUGUCAUUGAGAAGGCUGAAGAUGAAGAGGUGGUGGUCUAUAGAGGCAGAUAAAGUGAGCCUGAUGCAGCAGACUCCUUAUUAUGCUGAAGGUAAAGCUCUUAACUUUUAUUUUGCUCUUGCGCUCCAUUUUGAAUGUCUUAAAUUUCAAUGAACCAGCUGCGUGUUACUUUAUCAUUUUAAAACUCAGAAAUUACAAUAAUAAAUUUAAGUUCAUUCUUCCAUCUCGUCAUAUAUGGAUUUGAAGGUACUGAAUGAUGAAGCCUGUAAAUUCAAGCAACAAUACUGUAAUGGGGAUCAUGUGUUGUUCUCUACUCUCCAGUCGUUGGUAAAAAGCUCAAAAAAUGAAAACCAGACACUGUUAGAUCAACCAUUUGAAAGUGCUUCAUAUAUGCAUGAUUAUGACAUUGGACUCUUCGGCCCAAUGCAAAUUUUUCUUGAUCAUGACCUGACGUUAGUUUAUCUUGUGCUGGCAGGUAGUUGGUGGGAUAUCACUAACCACAACUUAUGCAGAAGCUUCCUAACAUCAGCCGUGGGUCCAGGAUGUUUGAUCGGAUCGGCUAAAUUAAAAUUUUUUUGUAUAUGUUUGUGUGAAUAUUUACAAAGGAGUGAAAAAACUAAUAUAUAUUAAAUAACGCGACAUUAAGAACCUCGUUCUGAAUAAAUUUUAUGUAUAUAAUUUGUAAAAUAAACUAAUAAUUAAAAUAACAAUUUACCCUUUUAACUCGUACAGAUACAACCUUAAAUUCCUUAUUUAAUUCAGCUCAUUCAGAGGGAGACAAUUAGACAAAACUUAUUUUAUCAGAGUGAACUGCGAAAGUACUAGCUUAACCAGAGAGAUUAAUGUCGUAGUUUGCACAUUUGUUUAAUUGCAAUUCAACAUAUAUAGGAAGUGAACGUGAAAAUAGAAUUAAUAAUACAUUGCAAGUACCUAAUAAUUUCAGAAGCAAUUAACAGUGACCUUUAUUGGAAAAAUCCAUUAUGAUUAGAAGCAAUCCCAUCACAUACAUGAACAGUUAAAUAUACGCAUCCAUAAUUAGAUAUCACAUUAAUCAACCAAAUACAUUUCUUGGUUUCUAAGCUCCAAAAUUGAAAUUUCAUGAAAAGGUUUUUGCAUUGGUGUCUUAUAGCGAGCGAUAAAUUCGUUGGACACGAGUUGCAUUGUAGGUCGAGACUUUGGUUGAGAACGCAAGCAUGAAAAUGCUACUGUUGAAACAAGAAUGAUAUCCUGCCUAAUCUUUUGAUCCACCGGAGGUGAGAAGCGUGGGUCCAGCAAAUCAAUCAGCUUAAUAUUUUUAUCUAAUGACGAAGAUAACGAUGAGAGGAGCUCUCCAGGAUGCUUUCCCAUUAGUACUUCUAGUGCCUCCACUCCGAAGCUAUAAACAUCAGAUUUCUCCGUCACAAUCAUGGUAUAGGCCAGUUCUAUCGGAAAACAGAAGCCUUUAUUAGUGAUAUUUCGUAUAUAAUAACAAGAGCAAUUUGUUUAUAUUUUUGAGCUUCUGCAGCAAGGUAUGACAAAGAAACAUAUGUUUUUAAUUGAUAUUUAAACUGUGUAUUUUUUUUUUUUUUAAAAAAAAGUUAAACGGGUAGGCAAAGUUCAAAUUUAUCUUUCUAGCUCCUUACCUAUUCCAAAAUUCGAACCUAAGUAGCUAACUAAAUAAAACUGCUUAAAACUUACUUAACAGAGUGCAUAUAGAAAUUAAUUAAAAGAAUAAUUAAAGAAGCAUAAGAAGAACGGCUAGAAGAUUACCUGGAGCAAUAUAUCCAUAAGUGCCAGCUAACAUGAGCCAUGCCCCUCACAGUGUUCACCCUUUUAGCCCAAUCCAAAUCAACAGCUUCCUCAUCUGUGCGUAGAACACAGAACAAGCUUCCCAUUUCCAUGUACUCAUAGAUUAAGAACAUGCAUUUCCUGUGCAAACAAAACCCGUAAAGCUUUACGAUAUUUCGAUGCCGUAUUUGGGACAGUAGACGAGCCUCAUUCCGGAAACUCUCGAGGGAAGCUAACUCCUCAGUUUCUGAACGGUGAAGCUUCUUCAAAGCAACUACUUUUCCACUGGGUAGUCGUGCUCUGUAAACGCUGCCGUAGCUUCCGGUUCCAAUGCAGUAUUUGAUAUGGAAAUCCUCGGUAGCUUCAAUCAUGUUUUGAAAUGUAAUUUUACCGUCGUAAUUCCAAAUUGCAAACUCAUCAGCGCACUUGGUGAUUUCUCCUGUCUCAGCUGGUUCAACUCUCUUAUCCCUUCGUCUACGGACAAACAAGAUUCCAAAUAUCAAGGCAAGCAAUGCGACCAUAGGGAGAAUAAUUGCAACCAAGCGAGUGGCAAUCUUUUUGUGAUGUGGCGGUGGCGAAUUUGCCGAAGUAUUUGGGAUUUUUACCUCGAAAUUGUUGCCUGACACAUAUAAGAGAGGCACUUUUUUGACAGAUUCAGGGAUACUACCGGAGAGGUUAUUCAUGGAAAGGUCCAUGGUGCGUAUGCGUGGAAUUUCUCGAAGCUGGGAAGGUAUUUUACCAUUAAUGGAGUUAUGGCUCAGAUUAAGAUAAUUUAGUUCUUGAAGUUUGUUAAUCUCUGACGGGAUGCUUCCACUUAACAAGUUGUUUCCCAAAUCUAAUUCCCACAGCUUUGAGCAAUUCAUGAGUUUUGGAGGAACUCGACCAUCAAGUUUGUUGUCGUACAGGUCAAGAACUUGAAGAACCUUCAAACUCCCGAUUCCUAAUGGGAUGGAACCAUUAAUUUGGUUUGAGGCAAUAGCCAAAGUAGUUAGCUGGGUUAGAUGACCUAGAGUUGGAGGGAUAUUACCAUGAAGGGCGUUAGAAGACAAGUCCAAAAUUUUCAAUUUGCUUAGAGACCAAGAGUUGGAGGGAUAUAUCCCAAGAGGUAAUUAUUAGAUAGAUCCAGGUGGACCAGAUUCCUCCAUCUCCCCAUCUCUGAAGGGAUAAUUCCUGUUGCGCAUGUGAUUUAUGAAAAAUGAAAUCAGUAUUCACUAUCCUCAUAUAAAUAAAAUUUAUAAAGAAAUGCUUAGGUUGUAAAAAUUAAUAGAUUUUUUAGUGCUCCAAUAGUUUUUUUAUUCUUAUUUUUUGUUGGGGCUCGUCAAUGCUGCAUAUUUUUUACUGAAAGUUAAAUCCGCAGAUGCAACAAAUAUAUCAAUAAAUUAAUACAAAACUAUGGAGAGUGGAGAGAAUCACUCUCAGUGCUCUCAAUUGACUAUCCUAUUGUGUAAAUACAAAAGUAAAUUUAGUAAAUUAAUGAGGAACUGUAUAUGUGUGAAAUUAGAAAUAGUGCUUUUGAUUUUUAAUCAUAUCUUUUAUAGGAUAACCCUGAAUUUUAAUGCAAAGGGGAAAAAAAGAGAGGAAAAGAUACAAACCAAAAAUGCUUAAACCUGCCUUCCUUAAUAAUUACGUACAACUUGUAAUCGCCCAAUGUAACAAUUGCAAUUGAUGGAUGCAAUUUGGAAAAGAAACUGACACUUGAAGCCGAUUCAUUUCAUACAAAAAUUGAAGGAAAAAAAGCCAACCAGCAUAUUCUCCAAAUUAAAACACUACCGAAGUAAUAAACAAAGAUGUAGAAAUUUAUUAUAUAGUUUCACUUUCACACAACAAAAAUGUGCUUAGACGACCAAGAGUUGGAGAGAUAUUACCAUCAAUGCCGUUAGAAGACUAUAGUUUCACUUUCACACAACAAAAAUGUGCUUAGACGACCAAGAGUUGGAGGGAUAUAUCCCCAGAUGUAAUUAUUAGAUAGAUCCAGGUGGACAAGAUUCCUCAAUCUCCCCAUCUCUGAAGGAAUAAUUCCUGUUGCGCAUGUGAUUUAUGAAAAACGAGAUCAGUAUUCACUAUCCUCAUAGCAAAUAAAAUUUAUAAAGCAAUCCUCGUAAAAAAAAACUUCUUCAGUGUUGUAAAAACAGACGCCUGCUUCAAGCAUGAGCACGACUUCAUACAUACAUACAUACAUACAUAUAUAUAGUGAAGUUUCGUAGCAUACCGGUAAGAUAGUUGGAGGACAGUUCAAGAGUUUGGAGCAUUGAAAGGGCAGUAAUUUCAGAUGGAAUGCUCCCAGAGAGAAGAUAAUUUGAAUGAAUUUUGAAACUUCUGAGGUUCGGAAAGCAAGAGAAUUUGAAACGACCAAGCUCUCCUUCGAUGUUAUCAUUUUCAUACCAGAGUAAGCUGACCCCGAGUACGCUUCCCGCUGAAUUGCAACUGAUGCCAGUCCACUUAUAAUGAUCGGACGUGGAGUUGCCCGUCGCCCAAUUGUUGAUCCACCAGCCUGUACCAAGUAUAGCUUCCCUUUCUAACUGUAUGGGUGACGACAACAAUCCUGCAGCUGAUGCUAUUACAAAUACUGUCGUAUCACUUAUAGCACCAACAUUUAUUAAAAUUAUAAUGACCACCAGUCUCGAAACAGAGGACGCUGAUGCCAUGUUUAUGGUGGUUUUCGGUUGAUUGAGCAUUUGAUUCUCAGCAAAGCGUUUAUAUAAGAAUUAAUUGUUUUGCAACUUCCCGGUGUUAAUUUCCAACACGCGUUUUCAAAUAGUGUGAGUCAAGGUCUUCUCUAGAUGGAUUUAAUCAUGGAGAUAUAACCUUAUCGGCUUGUAUUUGUGAGGUGUAGAUCUAUUUGAACAACAUUGCAGAAACAUGAGAUAAUACGGACAAUAUUAGAAAUAAUUAAUAGCAUUAUUAGUAGUAUAAGAUAUUAAGUAUUACCCAAAAUAAGAAAAGGAAAACCGUUCAAAGAAAAUAAUUGUUAUAAAUAAUGGCUCAAAUAGGAAAAUAAACAAGACUAAUCAUAUCUUUUGUAACAUACAUACCAUAGCUCAUGGGCUAACUAACAUUUUUUUUUUUAACCCUAAACAUCAUAAAUGAAAGAAGAUGAAAUUUUCAUUACCGCUCAAUUUUUCUGCACGCAACCAAAUUUUUUUUAAAAAAAAACAAAAAGAAAGUGUUAGAAAAAUAAUGCGCAAGUAGCUACUUGAGGCAUGAUUUUGAAUGAGACCUUUUUGGUAUAAGUGAAAAUUCAGAAAUUGUUUCGCAUAUUCCUCUAUGAGUACUUCGGAAUGUUAUCUAUACGAUCAAAAUGAUCCUCAAGUGAAUGAGAAAUUAUUACUCAAAGUGCACUCAUGAAUUUGAAAAAUUAAAGGAAAAUACAUUUGUCCCACAUUGGAAAGAUUUAUACAUAAUUACUAGAUGAACGGUAAGCUAUUAUAAGCAAAGGGGCGUUCCUUGUGCACGGUCACGGGAGUGCAAAUUUUAACCACCCCAAUUAGCUUAACCAGUGUUCAUAUUGGGGGUGUUUACCCGACCCUUAGUUGGGGUUAGCUAAUGUGGCAACUUAGUUUGCCUUUUUUUUUUUUUCUCUUUGUAAUAAUAAUAAUAACAAAUUAAUAUAAUUUUUUAAUUUAAUAUUAUAUUACAUAAUAUUAAAUUAUGUUUUAAUUUUUAUUAUUUUAAAUAUAUAACUAAACAUUGUAUUAUUUAAUUGUAUUAUUUUAAUUAAUAUAUAAAAUUAUAUUAAUUAAUCUUUAAUAAGUUAAUAUAAUUAGUAAUAAAUACUUAAAUAAUAUAAUAUUACAUUAUUAAUUAUAGUACAAUAAUUAAUUUAGCUAUUUUUAAAUAAUUUAAUAUAACUAACAAUAAAUAUUUAAAUUUGAAUAAUAUUAAUUGAAAAUUAAUAAUAUAAAUAAUUACUGGAUUAUUUAGCUCAAUUAUAUCACUUUAUUAUUCUAUAAUUAUCUUGUAAUAUGUAUAAACUUUUAUUCUAUCAUCCUCAAAUGAUUUUUGAAUUAAUCUUGAAGAUUUCAACUAUUUAUUUAUGUUGUUAAAUUAUUUAGUGAUUAUUUGAUUAAAUUAUUUACUUUGAUCUUUAUUUCAUAAGUUAUAUAUUUAGAAAAUACUAAAAAAUACACUUCCAAAAAUUUAAGACUAUAAGCUUCGGAAGAAUUAUGACAUUUCAAUAUAUAUUUUUAAUAAAAAUGUUAAAUUUCCAAAAUUUAAGAAUUUUAUAUUUAUUAUUUUUAAGUACUAAUAAAUAUUAUUUUCUAAAUAUAUAAUUUAAAUUAAUCACAAAAAAAUUAAUACAGUACAAUGUAACGCCAAACAUUGUACAACAUUAUUAUAAUACAGUGUUAAUGCAAUACAACAUAAUACAAUACACCUGCAAUAAAAUAAUGCAAUACAACAUAAUACAAUACAGUUUGUCAAACACACCAUUGUAUUAUUGUUUCGUUCUCAUUGUAUAAUUGCCGUCCAUACCUGUGCAAAACAUUAAGAGUUAAAAAAAUAUAUUUUUAUGAUUAAUUUUAGAUAUUUUUUAAACUUUAAUAAUGCCAUAUUAUUUAAUAUUACAAUUGCCGUUCGAACAUGUGCAAAACAUGAAGACUAAUAUAUAUAUAUAUACACCAUAUUAUUUAAUAUUUAAUUUUUAAGGCAACUUUUACUUAAAAAAAAAAAAAUUUAAGGCAACUUUUUUAGUUGAGGGCAGGGAACCCCUACGAUACCUAAUUCCAUAACACGCUCAUCUAAUCACCUUGACUAUAAGACUUCUCCUAGUCAGCAAUUAUUUGGAAAAAAACGUCUUGACAUGUGCUGUGGAAAUUAAAGAAUGAGGUGGACUUACGAAGUCAAGGGGUUUUUCUAGUCUACAUAUUUUAAUUUAUAUGUGUAGAAAAUUAGAAAUAUUCAAUGUCUAAUCUGAUUCUACAUAAACACUAAUGCCCCAAGAUUGUGAUUGAAAUGCUAUAAGCAGUUUAUUUUAUAAGUUUAGAUAAAAAUGAGGUUUGAUGGCUUUGUUAAAAGUUGCUUCUUUCACAAUUUUCUCAAUUUUGACUAAAACUUCUAAAAACAGGCAGGAGAUUAUUUUGAUAAGCAACUUAUUAAAUAAGUUGCUAGAUCUUUUUAAAUGUUCCUAUAAUAAUCUUAAUAUUUUAAGAAAAGAAUAAUUAUAUCUUUCUUUUCUAUAAGCUCUAAUAUAUAAAUAAAACACAGUUUAAACUUAUGUCUAUUUUAGUGAUUAAAUAAUACAACACAUUCAUAAUCAAAUUUACCAAACACGAGCAAGACACUUUUUUAACCAUCAACUUAUUUCAUCCUCACAACAAAAAUAACUUAUUUUAUCAGCCACCGCCAUCCUAAACUUGAUGCUAAGUCACGUUUGGGAUUGCAUUAGAUUGUCAAAUAAUUAAGAGAAAUAGCCAUUAUGGAGAAGAAUAGGGAGAGGUUCGCCUAAAGCAAUAUACUCGUAAGCUUGGCUACUAAUAAACGGAGCAUAUAAGCAUAAACACCUAACUUUUGAGGCAUAUAAGGGAUCUAAAAGUGCGGAAACGUUUGGAAAAACUUUAAAACCACAGGGUUUUAAAGGUUUAAACCGCAUGGUUUAUGUGUUUUCCUAGAUAUUCCCGCACUUUAAAAUUUCAGAUUAAAACAUUUCCAUAUGUGUGUGUGUGUGUGUGUGUGUGUGUGGAGGGCAAAUCUUUGACUCUCUCCAGCUUCAAGUACCUAUACGGUAACUCUUAAAUCAAAGGGAGAAAAUGGUUAACCCAAUCUUAUUGUAUAUGAAUUGAUAUUCACCAUAUGAUUAUUACAUAAAGAUUGAGCCUUAAGUGCUUUACAUUAAGUAAUAUUGCACACCUGUUCUACACAUUUAGACAACUCAGAGUAAAAAUAAUGAAAAUGACAACCAAAUCCAAACUACCUGUUCUACACAUUUGAACCCUAAUUUUUUAUUUUAUAGAAAAAUUUAAAUACCGUUUCUUGUUGUCACUGCUAUUAUACUGUCUGAUAUAUCUUCCAGAAUCCUAUAAUCCCCCCCCCCCCCAAAAAAGAAGAAACAAAAAAAGGUAUAUAAUUAAACAGGUAACUUCGAUAGAAAAGAGUGUACAUAAUUCUUAAGCUUAAUUACCCCUCGCUAUUAUAGGGAUCACGAAGGCCAUUAGAGAAAAUAAUGUUGCUACCAAAUCUCUUUAAAACCACUCUUAUAUCUUGCAAAUUAAAAAGAAAUAGAAAUCAAACAAAACUUGAGGUGAACUUUAUAAUUAAAACAGAAAAUGAGAAACCUUAAAAUAUUAGAAGAAUUAAUUUGGGGAUUAAUCGACACUUACAUUACCACUUUAAUAAGUUGUAAUCCAAUGUGGUCUUGGAACCACUCCAUAAGACUUAUUGCAUGAAUCCAUAUAUUCUGUCAGAUUAAAUGUGUCUGCUUGAAACAUUAUGUCGUUUUUGCCAAUUCCAAUUGGUGAGACCAUUUCACUGCAUGUCUGCAUGAGAAACCCCCCAAAAAUAAAAAAUAAUAAUAAUAAAAUAAGAUAAAGAAGAAAACUAUUUUUAAUCAUUCAUAAAUAUAAAGUCUCAUAAAUAAAAUUAAGAGAUGUACAUAAAAUAGGUAUUGUUCUCAUUGCCACAUGUUGUUUAUUUAACGGUCUCAAUAGAACUAACCAAUGAAAUCAUGUCACUUGUAAUUGCAUACCUGUCUGCCCCAGCUGGAGUCCAAUGUUGCAUCGGAGAAGAAUUCAUCAACAUCAUGGCAAGAAUCCUCCCCUCUUAAAUCAACAAUUCCUGAGAAGAUCCGGUCUAGGGUAUCUGUGCCUUCUAAAGCUCCAUCAAUACCAUUACAGGCUUUGUUCACUGGGCUUUCCUGAGGAUCAUCAUACUGAGCUGCACCCGUAUACAUAUACUCUAAAUAAUCUUUCAAUUCUGAAACAUCCUUCAGAGGCCUGUAAUCAAAUAAACAAUAACAUAGAAUUAAGUGCCACAAGGUCAUUAACUUUAUAAAAGAUCUUUCAACAUACUGUCUUAAAAAUGUUGUUAUAUUUAGUUAGAUUACAAUAAACUUUAUAAGUAUGAAGCUAUUGAUAUUCUCAAAUGCAAACGUUCAAAUUUGGCCUCAUUUGAUUAUCAGAGUUUUGCGUGGUUUUGUAGUUUAAAUUUAGAUUCUGCAAAAUAUGGACGUCUGAACCUAAGCACCAGUAUACUAUAUAUGGUAACGCAAAGGCCGUGUAUAAGCCCAAAUCCAGAUUUUUACUUUGUAUAUUACACGUUAAUCGAAAUGUAUAUACACGCUGAGGAUGACAGAUAAUUAAUUAGACAUGGUACAUUCGAUAACGAUGCUAAAAUAACAUUGCAUUAAUUGUAAUUAAGGGAAAAUCGGAUGGAUAUACAAUAUAAGCAGUUAUGUAAAGUAAUAUGAUUAAUUACUUGCAGGUUUUGAACUUUAUAGAGAGAAAAGCAAGUCCAUUUUUUCCAGCAGCGACUUUAUCGAUUUCAGCCUAGGACUGUUUGAUGGUCUUGUAGCAGCUCUCGCUGGCUUCCUGCAUCAUUAAUUUUUAAAAUUCAAUGGCUAAAUUUUAACAAGAAAACAUAAUCAUGCUUAUAUAAAAUUUUAAUUAACUAAUUUAUUUCUUACCCGAAAGUCCUUGGUGACAAGAUCAUAAUAUGCGUUUGACGGUGUGAUAUUCUCAAAGUAGAGAACUGGGGCGGAUGAGGCAACUGCUCCCAAAGCAAUGUGAAGAUACUUCAAGUGAAACCAUGCAGCAAGCAUUGUUGAUAACAAACCAACAAACAAGUAACUCUCGAAACCAUAUCACAUCCCAGAUCUGAUAAAAUAGGAUGAAUUGAGAAGAUUAUUUUUAAAUACAUAAUUAUCUUGAAUAUAUUUAUUAUUUCUUGAUUUUACGAUCGCCAAGAGUAUUCGUUAGUUGCAAUAUUAAAUAAAUUUGUAUCAUAGUAAUAUUGCCGUAGUCAAUAUCUUGAUCGAUCAAUCGUGAUCUAAAUGAGUAAAAUGAUGUGACAGAUGACACGACAUUAAUCAAAAGAUGUAAGUAAGUUAAUAAUAUUAUAAUUUACUUCCUCCAUAAGAUGCUCCAACAACCAUAAUGGGAGACAUUUCGUCCGAUAAAUUUUUCUGGAUGUGUAAGAGAAUCUCUGCGUAAUCAGCCAAAGCUUGAGCAGAGUUGAAAUAUCCACGAAGAGUUGCAUUCUUUGGGGCAUCUUUGCUUGAUACAAAAGGUAUUGAUUUUCCAUAGAACCGAUACUGCAUAAAAAAUUGAAUUAAAAAAAAAAUCCAUCACAACUUUUCGUAUGUGAACUCUAUUUCAAUUAUUAUCAAGCUAGCCUGAUAACAUAUUCUUUACUUACCUCUAUGUAAACUUGUAAGGCUUUAAAUCGAUGAGCACUAUUAGUUAGCCAUCCAAUGCCACCAAGGUCAUCAUAUCAAGACUACUCUCUUCACCAAGAUAUGCCAAUAUCGGCGCCGCCAUGGCUCUGCCACCGCCCCAAUGCUUGAAGUUCAACGCAUAUCUAUGAGGAAAAGUUAAAUAACUUUGUGGAUUAUAGUUAAAGUGAUCAAGUGUUUGAUAAUAAUAGUAAGUUUCGAGAUCAUAAUAGUAACUUUGUGGAUUUUUUUGCUAGGGUUUUGAAAAAUAGUCCUUCCACGAACAGCACCAAGCUUUGGGAUGUUCUUUAAUGGUGAAGUGGAAGCAAAAGCAAAAUUUGUGAGGAGAAGAAGAAAAAGGCAUGGAAGCCACCGACCUUUCAUGGCAAAGUUGUAAAUCCUUAAUUAGCAGGAUGAUUAUGUAAAUACAGAAGAAAUAGAGUUAAGAUUAGAUUAUAAAUUCAGCUUCAAAAUCGACGUGUUUGUUAAUAUAUCCUGGAUUUGUUGUUAUCGUAUAAUUUAAUUAAUGUUGGUUUUAGUUUUAUAUUAGUAUGGAUCUUCAUUUUUCAUAAAAUUAUAGUGUGUCGAAUAUAUAGUUAUCGGUUUCGUAAUUAAUAAAAAUUUUUAUUAUUUCUUUCCUAGUAAUUAAUUAUCUUGUGCUUACCAGAAUAUCACUAACCACAACUUCUGCAGAAGCUUCCUCACCUUCGGAUGACAUCAGCGGUGCGUCCAGGAUGUUUGAUCGGAUCAGCUAAAUUAAAAAUUUAUUGUAUAUGUUUGUGUGAAUAUUUACAAAGGAGUGAAAAAAAACUAAUAUAUUGAAUAACGCGACAUCAAGAACUUCGUUCUGAAUGAAAUUUUUAUAUAUAAUUUGCAAAAUAAGCUAAUAAAUAGAAUGACAAUUUACCCUUUUUAACUUGUAGAGACACAACCUUAAAUUCCUUAAUAUGCUGGUUAAUUCAGAUCAUUGAGAUGGAGACAAUUAGACAAACCUUAUUUUAUCAGAGUGAACUGCGAAAGUACUAGCUUUACAAAAGAGACUAAUGUCGUAGUGUGAAUGGAAUUAAAAAAUACUAAGGCAGACAAUUCGUCGAACACAUAAUAUUUGCUACAUUGCUACUACCUAAUAAUUUCACAACCAAUUAACAGUCUCCUUUAUUGGAAAAAUCACAUUAAUCAACCAAAUACAUUUCUUGGUUUCUAAGCUCCAAAAUUGAAAUUUCAUGAAAAGGUUUCUGCAUUGGUGUCUUAUUGCGAGCGAUAAAUUCGUUGGACACGAGUUGCAUUGUAGGUCGAGACUUUGGUUGAGAACGCAAGCAUGAAAAUACUACUGUUGAAACAAGAAUGAUAUCCUGCCUAAUCAUUUGAUCCCCCGGAGGCGGGAGGCGUGGGUCCAACAAAUCAAUCAGCUUUAUAUUUUUAUCCAAUGACGAAGAUGACGAUGAGAGGAGCUCUCCUGGAUGCUUUCCCAUUAGUACUUCUAGUGCCACUACUCCGAAGCUAUAAACAUCAGAUUUCUCUGUCACAACCAUGGUGUAGGCACGUUGUAUAGGAAAACGGAAGUCUUUAUUAGUAAUGUUUCCAUAAACAAUAACAAGCACAAUUUGUUCAUGUUUUUUAGCUUCUUUAGCAAGGUAUGACAGAGAAGCAUAUGUUCUAACUGAUAUUCAGUGUAUGUGUGUUUUGAAAGGUAAAGGGAUAGGUAAAGUCUAAAUUCAGUUAUAGCUCCUUAGUUUUUUCAAAAUUCGAACCCAAGUAGCGAGCUAAAUAAAGCUGGUUAAAAACUACUUAGCAGAGUAUAUAUAAAAAUUAAAUAAGAGGAUAACUAAAGAAGCAUAAGAGGAAUAGCUAGAAGAUGACCUGGAGCAAUAUAUCCAUAAGUGCCAGCUAACAGAGUUCGAUUGGAUGAGUCAAAAUUUAACAAUCUAGCAAUACCAAAGUCAGCAACAAAAGCUUCGAAUUCUGAGUUGAGUAGAAUGUUGUUGCUUGAUAUGUCGCGGUGAACAAUUGGUGGUGUGCAGUGAUGAUGCAAGUAUGACAAAGCAUGAGCCAUACCCUUCACAAUGUUCACCCUUUUAGUCCAAUCCAACCCAACAGCUUCCUCAUCUGUGCGUAGAAUACAGAACAAGCUUCCCAUUUCCAUGUACUCAUAGAUCAAGAACAUGCAGUUCUCGUGCAAACAAAAGCCGUAAAGCUUUACAAUAUUUCGAUGCCGUAUUUGGGACAGUAGACGAGCCUCAUUCCGGAAACUCUCGAGGGAAGCUAACUCCUCAGUUUCUGAACGGUGAAGCUUCUUCAAAGCAACCACUUUUCCACUGGGCAGCCGUGCUCUGUAAACGCUGCCGUAGCCUCCGGUUCCAAUGCAGUAUUUGAUAUCGAAAUCCUCAGUGGCUUCAAUCAUGUCUUGAAAUGUAAUUCUACCAUCGUAAUUCCAAAUUGCAAACUCAUCAGCGCACUUGGUAAUUUCUCCUGUCCCAGUUGGUUCAACUUCCUUAUCCCUUCGUCUACGGAUAAUCAAGAUUCCAAAUAUCAAGGCAAGGAAUGCGACCAUAGCAAGAAUAAUUGCAACCAAGCGAGUGGCAAUUGUUUUGUGAUGUGGCGGUGGCGCAUUUGCCAAAGUAGUUGAGAUUUCUCCUCCCAAUUUAUUGCCUGACACAUCUAAGUGUGGCACUUUUCUGACAAAUACAGGGAUUCCACCGGAAAGGUUAUUCAUGGAAAGGUCCACAGUGUCUAUGCGUGGAAAUUCUCCAAGUUGGGAAGGUAUUUUACCAUUAAUGAAGUUACCGCUUAGAUCAAGAUAAUAUAGUUCUUGAAGUUUGCCGAUCUGUGACGGAAUGCUUCCGCUUAACAAGUUGUUUCCCAAUUUUAAUAUCCUCAGCUUUGAGCAAUUCAUGAGUUCUGGAGGAAUUGGGCCAUCAAGUUUGUUGUUGUACAUAUUCAAAGUAGUUAAUUGAGUCAAAUGACCCAGAGACGAAGGGAUUGGGCCAACAAGUUUGUUUUGGGACAAGUCUACACUUCUCAACCACUUUAAAUGGCCAAGUGUUGUAGGAAUUGAACCUCCAAUUUCAUUUCUGGACAGGUCAAGAGCUUGAAGAACCUUCAAACUCCCGAUUCCUAAUGGGAUGGAACCAUUCAUUUGGUUUGAGGCAAUAGCCAAAGUAGUUAGCUGGGUUAGAUGACCUACAUUGGAUGGGAUAUUACCGACAAGGGAGUUAAAAGACAAGUUCAAAAUUUUCAAUUUGCUUAGACCACAAAGAGUUGGAGGGAUAUGUCCCAUGAGGUGAUUAUCAGAUAGAUCCAGGUGGACGAGAUUCCUUAAUCGCCUCAUCUCUAAAGGGAUAAUUCCUGUUGUGCAUGUGAUUUAUGAAAAACGAGAUCAGUAUUCACUAUCUUCAUUAAAAAAAAAUUACAUAGAGGGAGAGUCAAGCUCAAGUGCGGACGACUCACACUUCUUUAGUGUUGUAAAAACAGACGCCUGCUUUAAGCAGCAGCGCGAUUUUAUACAUACAUAUAUAUAUAUAUGGUGAAGUUUCACAGCUUACCGGUAAGGCCGUUGUAGGGCAGUUCAAGAGUUUGGAGCAUUGAAAGGGCAGUAAUUUCAGAUGGAAUGCGCCCAGAGAGAACAUAAUUUGUACGAAUUUUGAAAUUUCUGAGGUUCGGAAAGCAAGAGAAUUUGAAACAACCGAGCUCUCCUUUGAUGUUAUCAUUUUCAUACCAGAGUAAGCUGACCCCGAUUACGCUUCCCGCUGAAUUGCAACUGACGCCAGUCCACUUACAAUGAUCGGACGUGUAGUUGCCCGACGUCGCCCAAUUGUUGACCCACCAGCCGGUAGCAAGUAAAGCUUCCCUUUCUAACAGUAUGGGUGACGACAAUAAUCUUGCAGCUGAUGCCGUUACAGAUAUUGUCGUAUCACUUAUAGCACCAACAUUUAUUAAAAUUAAAAUGACCACCAAUCUCGAAACAGUGGAUGCUGCUGCCAUGUUUAUAAUGGUUUUCGGUUGAUUGAGCUGGCUAUUUGAUUCCUUGCAAAGCGUUUAUAUAAGAAUUAAUUGUUUUGCAAGCUCCCGGUGUUAACUUCCAAUACGCGUUUUCAAAUAGUGUGAGUCAAUGUCUUCUCUGGAUGGAUUCAAUCAUGGAGAUAUAACCUUAUCGGCUUGUAUUUGUGAGGUGUAGAUCUAUUUGAACAACUUUGCAGAAACAUGAGAUAAUAUGGACAAUAUUAGAAAUAAUCAAUAGCGCUAUUAAGAUAUUAAAUAUUACCCAAAAUAAUAAAGAAAAAAAAAAGCUCGAAGGAUUGUUGUUGUAAAAUAUGACUCAAAUAGAAAAAUAAACAAGACUAAUCAUAUCUUUGUAUAAAUUUAAGUAUAAAAAAAACUUGUAGGUGUAUUAUUAUAAUAAGCUGUAGAGAAAAGAAUUUGUAGACUUCUGUGAUUUGACAAAAUAAUAAAAUAAUCCCUUUAUUUUUUAAAAUAGUUACAAAACUCCUUUUGCAACAUGCAAACUAUAUGGAAAAUUGGAAAUUCAUGGGCUACCUAAUAUCCCUCUUAUUUUUUUAUUUUUUAUUUUACACCAAAACAUCAUAGACAAAAGAAGAUAAAAAUUUCAUUGCACUCAAUUUUUUUCAUGAAAUCAAACAAGGAAAAGAAGCAAAAAGUGUUGGAAAUAUAGCACAAGUUACUAUUUGAUGCGUGAUUUUGAGUGAGACUUAUCUGUUGUUUCAAAUAUUCCUCCGUAAAUACUUCAGAAUGAUUUUACCUAUAUAAUCAAAAUAACCCUUGGAUAAAUGAGAAAUUGUUACUCAAAGUAAAUUCAUGGAAUUGGAAAAGUAAAGGAAAUUAUAUUUGUCCCACAUGAAAAAGAUAGCAAAGGCAUGAAAGGUUUGUAUAUAAUUACUCAUGUGUGUAUAAGUAAAAUAUAAACCAAGACGCUCUCUCUUCCGUGCCCCAUCCUAAGUACACAAAUUCAAUGUGAUACGAUCCUAUAGUUUCCGUUCAAACCUAUGCACACUUUAAAAAAAGGUUUUUUUUAAUAUAUUUUUUAUGUAUUUUACAUUUUUUUUAAAAUUUAAUAAAUGCCAUAUUAUUUAAAUAUUUAAUUUUAAGGCAUCUUUUUUAAGUUGAGGGCAAGGAACCCCUCCGAUACGUAAUGCCGAAACAUGCUAAUCUAAUCACCUUGACUUUAAAGACUGCUUCCCCUAGUCAGCAAUUAUUUGGAACUUACGUCUUGACAUGUGCUGUGGAAAAUAAAGAAUGAAGUAGACUUAUUGAGUCAAGCUGUUUCUUCAAUCCAGAUAUUUAGUUUAUACGUGUGCAAAUAUUCAAUGCCUAACUUUAUUCUGCACAAAGCCUAAUGUCCUAUUUGGGAUAACGGUUGAAAUACUUAUAAGUUUUGAUAAAAAUGAUGUUUGAUAAAUUUGUUAAAAGUUUAAUUCAUAUUUUCUCCAUUUUGACAAUAACUCUUAAAAUAAGUAUGAGAUUGUCUUUUAUAAGCAACUUAUUAAAUAAAAUGCCAUUUUUUUAAAGUUUCUAUUAUAACUUUAAUAUUUUAAGAAAAGAAUAAGUGUAUCUUAUUUUUUAAAAAAUCCUAAUAUAUAAGUAAAAGACAAUUUAAACUUAUGUUUAUUUUAAUGAUUAUAUAAUAAAAUAUUAUUUUCGUAAUCAAAUUUACCAAACACUGAGUGAGCUACUUUUAUAAUCAUUAGAUAAUUCCAUUCACAUCGCAGAAGCAGCUUAUUUCAACAGCCACCAAAAUCUUAAACUGAUCCUAAGUCAUGUUCGGAAUUGCAUGGGAUUGUCAAAUAAUUAACAAAAGAAGCUAUUAUGUAGGAGAAUAGGAACAGGUUCACCUGGAGCAAUAUACUCAUAAGCUUGGCUACUAAUAAACGGAGCGUGUAAGGAUAAACACCUAAGUUUUGAGAGAUACAUGUAUCUGGAGGGCAAAUUCUUUUUCUCCCACCGGCUUCAAGGACCUAUACAGUAACUCCUAAAUCAAAGGGAGAAAAUGGUUAAUCCAAUGUGGUUGUGUAUGAAUUGAUAUUCACCGUAUGAUUAUUACAUAAAGAUUGAACCUUUGUACGUGCUUUAUAUUAAGUAAAACUGCACACUUGUUCUACACAUUUAGACAACCCAGAUUAAGAAUUAUGAAAAUGAAAUCUACAACUAGCUAGGUGCACUAUUAUUUAUCUUUGCUCCUUAAAUAUUAGAAAGAUAGAGGAGAGGGAGAAAAAGAAAAGACUAAUUUUGUAGUCCAAAUUUAAUCUUAUGCUCUGAUUUUGAAGCAAAUCAGCAGAGUAUUUGAGGAACCAAUCAUGAACCAUGUCCAUUUCAAUCUUUCGCUGCAUUACUAACCAUUCGGGGUCAUCUUCUGUUGCUGGCUGUAUGUCUAAGCAAUGGGAACCUGCUCCAAUUUACACACUAUUAAUUAUGUUAUCCAAUAAUUUAGUUAAUAAUUGAACACUAAUUUUUUAUUUUAUAGAAAAAGUUACAUACUGUUUUUUGUUGUCACUGCUAUUAUAUUGUUUGAUAUAUUUUCCAGAACCCUAUAAUCCCAAACAAAGAAAGAAAAAGAAAAAGGUAUAUAAUAAAACGGGUAACUUCAAUAGAAAAGAAUAUCCAAAAUUCUUAAGCUAAAUUACCCAGCGCUGCUACAGGGAUCGCGGUGGCCAUUAGAGAAAACAAUGUUGCUACCAAAUCUCUUUAAAACCACUCUUAUAUCCUGCAAAUUAAAAAGAAAUAAAAAUCAAACUCAAGAACGAGGUGAAGUUUUUAAUUUAAAAAAGGAAAGAAAAAGAGAAAAUUAAAAGAAUUAAUUUGGGGAUUAAUUGACACUUACAUGACCACCAUAAUAAGUUGUAAUCCAAUGUGGUCUUGGAACCACUCCAAAAGACUUAUUGCAUGAAUCCAUAUAUUCUGUCAGAUAAAAUGGGUAUGCUUGAAACAUUGUUUCCUUUUGGCCAAUUCCAAUUGGUGAGACCAUUUCACUGCAUGUCUACAUGAGAAACCCCCUAUAUUAAUAAUAAUAAUAAUAAGAUAAAGAAGAAAAAUAUUUUUAAUCAUUCAUAAAUAUAUAGUGUUAGAGUGCAAUUUAUGCACUAGUUUUGCAUUGUUUACUUCCCUUAAUAUCGAUGUUUUGCACUUAAUAAUAGUGAUUUACUUGUGUUUUACUUUUGUGGGUGCAGUUCUAUUGAUUUGUGAUAAAAUUGAGCUAUAAGAUGUUGUUUAAAGAUGAUUGUUCUCUUGGAGAAAUUUAGAGCGUCAGAAGAACUUUGUUGAUAAGGCGUGGGCGCGUGCUGUCAACUGCGGGCCUGCAGUUUUUAGUUUAACAUGUUUUGUAUUUUUGGUUAUUUUGUAAUUACGAAUUUAAUAUUUCAGUUAUUAGUAUUUUAUUUUAAAUAGAAUUCUAAAAGAGAAGAGAGAGAGAGUAUUUAAGGGAGGAAUCUAUUGUGAAAAAGGAGACUUUUGGAGAAGAGAAAGAAACCUUAGGUCUAAACUUUUCUCUUCUCUCUAUGAAGCACUAAACCUAUUUUUCUGGUUGAAGGAUAAUGAAGCUUUGAUUCAUCACUACUGUGAGAUCUAUUUUAUGCUUUAAUUGUUUUAUUGCUUUUUGGGUAUUUGUUUAUUCUCUGAAUUAUUUUCAUGAUUAUGUUUGUUAAUUAGGUAAUUGGCCACUAUUUAAUUAUCAACUUAAUCUAUUAUUAAUUAAAGGAUUCAUCGUAUGAAAAUUUUAAUGUUUGUGACAAAUAACAUACCAAUGAGUUGUGUUAUGAGAAUAAACAAUCUAAUUUAAAUGAAUCAUCGUAUGUGUUGAUUAGGAUUUGGGUCUCUCUGGUCUUUCAGGCUAUCAAUUGAUUAAAUCCUAUGAUCGUAUCUAGGAUUGUCUAUUGAUUAGGGAAAUAGCCAACGGUCGUACCUUGGUUAUCGACUAGUUAAGGAGAGAUUGGCUAUUAGAGGGUCUCAGUAGCUAUAACCGGUCUAUUCAUAAGUAAUAAUAAUCUAUAUUUGAAUCAAUGAUCAGUAAUCGAAUCUAGCUGAAUUAAUUCCUUCAACCAGAGCUUUCUCCAAUUUGAAUUACAACUUUAAUUUGCAUUCUUGUUAUUUUAAUUUGAUUUUUAUUAUUGUCAACAAAACCCCCAUUUUAUGUUUUACGUUUUAAAAGGAUUUAAAUAAUUACCGAUCUCUGUGGACACGACCCUGCUCAAUCACUAUACACAAUUUAUUUAGAGUAGGAAUUUAUUUUUGUUGGCUUCGACAACCAUCGUAUAGUCAUAUAAAUAAAAUUAAGAGAUGUACAUAAAAUAGGUAUUGUUAGGCGAAAGACUAAUUCAUUGCGACAUGUUGUUUAUUUGAUGGUCUCAAUGGAACUAUCCAAUGAAAUCACGUCAUCUGUAAUCGCACUUGAGCAGAGUUGAAAUAUCCACUAAGAGUUGCAUUCUGUAGGGCAUCUUUACAUGAUACAAAAGGCACCGAUUUUCCAUAGAACUGAUGCUGCACAAAAAAUCAAAUUAAAAAAUAUAUAUAUAUCACAACUUUUUAGUUGAUAUUAUAGAUUAAAUUUAUCUUUAUUAUUAUUGUUUCGCGUUCGAACUCUGUUUCAAUUAUUAUCAAAUUCUUUACUUACCUCUAUGUAAACUUGUAAGCCUUUAAAUCGAUGAGCAUUAUCAGUAACCUGGAUUUGUAUGUUAUUAGGAGGUCGUUGCUUAGAGAUUCCCAUGUCCACUCUUAGUGCCAAAAGACUUGGUCUUGAUGCACAGGUGACAAGUUUGUUGGGGAGUACAUUUGGACUCGCUAUCUUGAUUUAGUUCCAAACAUCAUAGCAUUUGGUUAUUUAUGUUGGUCAAAGUUCGCAAGUUCAGUUUGCGUGGUCAACUCAAGUAGACGAGAGAGUUGUGCAACUCUUGACCAUGCGUGCAAAUGCCAAUGUAUGUGGCUUUAAAAUUUGGCAGUGAGGACGUAUGAUCCCCCACAGCCUGGAAUCAAUGUGUGUCUGAAACCUUUUUUGAACGAAAACACGGAGCAAAUGUGAGCUUCUCGCAGGCUAAGGUUCCAAGAGAGGUUACAUAUGUUUACCAUGAAGUGUCAUAUGAACUUGUACAGAUUGAUUUCCGAUGUUUCUUUUUCCCGGUAAUUUCUUAUUUUAAAUCUUAUUGCUUGUCUUUGUGUAUGUGCGUUGGGCUGGAGGCUCCAUUGAAAUGGUGUUUCCUCAAAUUAUGAAUUAUAAUGCUCGUAAGUGUUAAUAUCAUCUCUUCUAGUCCAGCUUAUUAAGAAAGUCUUUCAGAAUCCUAUUCAAACAUAUUCCUUUUUUUUUUGUUUUUUGGAAGGAAAGAUUUUCUUGCUGGAAAUGUUGUUAAUUAACAAGGAUUCUGGUUGUAUUAACUAUUUUGUAAACAAAUUCUUUCAUCUGUACUACAAUAGCAGAUGACGGAGCUCACUGGGAAUAUUUUAUAUUUUUACCAUUGAUGUGAUAACUAAUAUAAGGCAUAAUGGUUUCUGUACCAUUUCCAGCCUCAGCCUGAUUCCAAUACUUGUGGAUCAAAGCAGAAAGUUGCCACACCACCUGUAGGUCCUGGAGAGCUUCCUUCAACGGGUUCAAACAAACCCAAGGAGUGGAGUUGUGCCCUCUGUCGGGUCAGUGCUACUACCGAGAGAGGUCUAGAUGAGCAUCUUCAAGGUAGGAAGCACAAGGCCAGGGUUUCAGGACUAAUUAGAGAUAAGAAAAUGUGCAGUAACUCCACUUCAUCCACGUCAAAAAAAUCUACUGAAAGCAGAGAUGGUGUUGGCCAAGAAAUGAAGACUAAAGUACAAGAGGAAUCAGUUAAAGCUAAUAAAACUGUUGUUGGUCUAGACCAGAAAGGGGAGGUUGGUCUAGAUGAGCAUCCUCAAGGUAAGAAGCAGAAGGCCAAGGAAGAAGAACUACUUGGAGCUCAGAAGUGGAUAAAAAAUCUAAUGAAAGCAGAGAUAGUGCUGGCCAAGAAAUGAAGACUAAAGUAGCAGAGGAAUCAGUUAAAGCUAAUAGAACUGUUGUUGGUUUAGACCAGAAAGAGGAGGGUUGUCAAGCCCUGCA
rnacentral:lncRNA from 1 species